rnacentral:rRNA from 1 species
GCCAACCCGCGAGGGGGAGCUAAUCCCAGAAAGUGUAUCGUAGUCCGGAUUGUAGUCUGCAACUCGACUACAUGAAGUUGGAAUCGCUAGUAAUCGCGGAUCAGCAUGUCGCGGUGAAUACGUUCCCGGGUCUUGUACACACCGCCCGUCACACCAUGGGAGCGGGUUUCACCAGAAGUAGGUAGCCUAACCGUAAGGAGGGCGCUUACCACGGUGGGAUUCGUGACUGGGGUGAAGUCGUAACAAGGUAGCCGUAUCGGAAGGUGCGGCUGGAUCACCUCCUUUCUA